rnacentral:rRNA from 1 species
AUGGAUAGAUUUUGGGGAGGAUUAAACCGUGAUAUUCAAGAGAUACUAAUUCAUGAAGAGUGUUAUCCUAUGGACCAUUUAUUUCAUCUUGCUUGCAAAGCUGAACAGGAAAUAAAACGACGUCUUGGCCACGAGGAGAACAAGCGCACGGUGCACAUUCCAAGAGUUGAUAUGAUUGUUCCUUCAACUACUAGGCAUACUAUGACAACCACAUCCGUUGUUGUCAGGACUACAUCACCUCCACCAUGUGACACAUCGCCCCCGAGAGUGGCUACAUCAUCUGAGUUGAUCAUAAGAGGUAAUGACAAAGGUACUGAUCUUCCAUCUCUACAUGAGAAUGAAGAAUGCCUUGUCAAUUUGAAUGCACCAUCUGAUGAGCUACCCACUACUUUGAUCACACCACCUAUUUUAUAG